rnacentral:rRNA from 1 species
CCUACGGGGGGCAGCAGUGGGGAAUAUUGCACAAUGGGGGAAACCCUGAUGCAGCGACGUCGCGUGAGUGAAGAAGUAUCUAGGUAUGUAAAGCUCUAUCAGCCGGGGAGCAAAUGACGGUACCUGAUUACGAAGCCCCGGCUAACUACGUGCCAGCAGCCGCGGUCAUACGGCGGAUGCGAGCGUUAUCCGGAUUUAUUGGGUCUAAAGGGUGCGUAGGCGGUAUGUUAAGUCAGCGGUAAAAGCCCGGGGCUCAACCCCGGCCCGCCGUUGAAACUGGCAGUCUCGAGUUGGAGAGAAGUAUGCGGAAUGCGCGGUGUAGCGGUGAAAUGCAUAGAUAUCGCGCAGAACUCCGAUUGCGAAGGCAGCAUGCCGGCGCCACACUGACGCUGAGGCACGAAAGCGUGGGUAUCGAACAGGAUUAGAUACCCUUGUAGUC